ACGCUGGCGGCGUGCCUAAUACAUGCAAGUAGAACGCUGAAGAGAGGAGCUUGCUCUUCUUGGAUGAGUUGCGAACGGGUGAGUAACGCGUAGGUAACCUGCCUUGUAGCGGGGGAUAACUAUUGGAAACGAUAGCUAAUACCGCAUAACAAUGGAUGACACAUGUCAUUUAUUUGAAAGGGGCAGUUGCUCCACUACAAGAUGGACCUGCGUUGUAUUAGCUAGUAGGUGAGGUAACGGCUCACCUAGGCGACGAUACAUAGCCGACCUGAGAGGGUGAUCGGCCACACUGGGACUGAGACACGGCCCAGACUCCUACGGGAGGCAGCAGUAGGGAAUCUUCGGCAAUGGGGGCAACCCUGACCGAGCAACGCCGCGUGAGUGAAGAAGGUUUUCGGAUCGUAAAGCUCUGUUGUAAGUCAAGAACGAGUGUGAGAGUGGAAAGUUCACACUGUGACGGUAGCUUACCAGAAAGGGACGGCUAACUACGUGCCAGCAGCCGCGGUAAUACGUAGGUCCCGAGCGUUGUCCGGAUUUAUUGGGCGUAAAGCGAGCGCAGGCGGUUUGAUAAGUCUGAAGUUAAAGGCUGUGGCUCAACCAUAGUUCGCUUUGGAAACUGUCAAACUUGAGUGCAGAAGGGGAGAGUGGAAUUCCAUGUGUAGCGGUGAAAUGCGUAGAUAUAUGGAGGAACACCGGUGGCGAAAGCGGCUCUCUGGUCUGUAACUGACGCUGAGGCUCGAAAGCGUGGGGAGCGAACAGGAUUAGAUACCCUGGUAGUCCACGCCGUAAACGAUGAGUGCUAGGUGUUGGAUCCUUUCCGGGAUUCAGUGCCGCAGCUAACGCAUUAAGCACUCCGCCUGGGGAGUACGACCGCAAGGUUGAAACUCAAAGGAAUUGACGGGGGCCCGCA
rnacentral:rRNA from 1 species